CCUACGGGAGGCUGCAGUGAGGAAUAUUGGUCAAUGGGCGGAAGCCUGAACCAGCCAAGUAGCGUGCGGGAUGAAGGCCCUACGGGUCGUAAACCGCUUUUGCACGGGGAUAACACCCUCCACUUGUGGAGGUCUGCAGGUACCGUGCGAAUAAGGGCCGGCUAAUUCCGUGCCAGCAGCCGCGGUAAUACGGAAGGCCCGAGCGUUAUCCGGAUUCAUUGGGCUUAAAGGGAGCGUAGGCGGGCGUUCAAGUCAGCUGUAAAAUCGCGCGGCUCAACCGCGCCCCGCAGUUGAAACUGGACGCCUUGAGUUCACAACAGGCAGGCGGAAUUCGUGGUGUAGCGGUGAAAUGUAUAGAUAUGUGGAAGAACACCGAUGGCGAAGGCAGCCUCCUGGGACGCAACUGACGCUCAUACACGAAAGCGUGGGGAGCAAACAGGAUUAGAUACCCCGGUAGUC
rnacentral:rRNA from 1 species